GCCUGGGUGGCUCAGUCGGCGAAGCGUCUGACUUUGGCUCAGGUCAUGAUCUCACGGUCCAUGGGUUCGAGCCCCACGUCAGGCU
rnacentral:tRNA from 1 species